ACAACUUUUGUAAUUCGAAUUAAAAUAACGUAUUAUUAAUUAUAAUUAAAAUAUUAAUAAUAAUAAUAGUAAUGACAAAAUAUUAUUUUUCAAUAUUUUUGCACAAAACUGCAACGAGUGCAAAAAUAUUUACGAAGGAACGAAAUCCGGUCAAUAUUUCCAUCGUCUACUUCCUGUUAUUGGGAUUUCAUUGCCGGAUCACAAAAAUAUACGAAACGUGUACAAAAAAUCAAGAAAGAAAUAAGUGACAGUUUUAUUGAUUGAUUGUUUGAUAGUAUUAGUUAAUCAAUCAACAGACGUAAAUUCAUAACAAGAAGUUAGGUUGAAAACCAGUGGACUGUGACGUUGGCAGACAUUGACUUUUUUGCAACUACGUAAAGGUGUGCGGAAAUAUGAUUCGAUAACUUUCUCCUGAAGUAUGCCUCGAGACUGGUGAUUAGGAAGCUAUUAAUUCUUCAACCCUGAAUUACCGACAGAGCGGCAUCUUUGCAGUCAGAUGUGCCUCCUCUCCACUCUACUUGUUUACUUUUUUUAUAUAAGAUGGAAGUAUAAAUCAUUACUGGAUAAACAAGCUAAGUAGAUUUGAAGUAGCUUUAAAACCCUGCUAAGAAACAAUUAAAAAAAAUGAAAUUACAAUAAAAAGAAUAACUUCCGAAACAUGUAGGCACGUGUUUAUGCGCGGGACACUACAUGAUUUUCAUAAUCGGUCAUUGACAUUUUAUUUAUCUACCUCUUUGAUCAUAUUUUUUUGCAAUAUAUUAAUAAAAUUAUUCAUAAAGUGUUAUUAUAAUAAUACAUGUGUCUGUACACGUUUGUACACAAAUUACUUACAGAAGUAACAACACUCUAGUGAAAUUUUUCCACAAAAAUGCCGGUGCAAGAUCGAUAAAUUAAAGAAAAACAGAAAUACGAAAAACCCCGAAAUUUUUUCAAGGUGAUACAGAGAGAAAAUAAAAGGCAAAUCAGUUUCCAGUGAUACACCGCAUGGUCAGAAUGGUCGAAUGGGAAAUCACCGGGUAUAAAUAGAGGAUGACUCGCAGUCUGGACUCGCUUGGACAUCGUUAGUCGAUGAUCAUACUUCGCCACGCCAAGUAGGUAUCGAUACAUUGCGGAUCGAUGAUCCUCUAAUUACGCGUUGGUAUGGACAUUUAACAUCAGAUAUCGGGAAUUCAUCCUUGGAGCAUUGUUCUGCCGUUCCAAAUAUAGCCAAGGAUAGACGUGUCGCGUUACACUUAAACGUGUAAUACCUACGUACUUUCUGAUAAGAGCGUUUUAUACCUCCAUAAAAUAUGGCGCUACGUACAUACAUUAAACACGCGUAACACAUUUGGUUGCUAUCUACACCUGUCGAACAAUCCGUUCGUUUUGUAAUCAUACGUUCGAACAUGAUGGUUUACUAUUCGUGCGUGAAAUUGUAAUUAAGUUCUACGUAAUACCGAUCCAUAAUGAAAGAGGAAAUAAUAGUUAAUUCAAUGAGGCUUGUCUCAUCGCAUAACCGUGGUGUUUUAAUAUAAGCACUGUUGUAGUUUUCCAUCGAAAGAGGAAAAUGAAGGAAUUAAUUGUUUCCAUAGUUUGAAAUAUUUCAAAAUUGUAUUAGCGAAACUAGGGACCGAUUCUGUGAAAAAAAAAAAAGAAGGAACCAUUA